rnacentral:rRNA from 1 species
AACGAACGUUGGCGGCGUGGAUUAGGCAUGCAAGUCGCGGGAAUCCCAGCAAUGGGGGAACCGGCGUAAGGGGCAGUAAUGCGUGGGUACCUACCCCGGGGUCCGGGAUAGCCGUCCGAGAGGGCGGGUAAUACCGGAUGACCUCGGGAGAGCAAAGCUCCGGCGCCCCGGGAGGGGCCCACGUGAUAUUAGCUAGUUGGUGAAGUGACGGCUCACCAAGGCGGAGAUGUCUAGCGGGUGUGAGAGCACGACCCGCGCCACUCGCACUGAGAGACUGGCGAGACACCUACGGGUGGCUGCAGUCGAGGAUCUUCGGCAAUGCGCGCAAGCGCGACCGAGCGACGCCGCGUGGGCGAUGAAGGCCUUCGGGUUGUAAAGCCCUGUCGAGGGGGAGAAAAGCGGGAAACCGUGUGAUCUAUCCCUGGAGGAAGCUCGGGCUAAGUUCGUGCCAGCCGCCGCAGUAAGAC